GUGAGACUGUGAAUUCUUCAAAAGCAGGUACUGUGUUUAAUGAAGUGUGCCCAGGACUUUGCUCAGUGACUGGAUGACACAGUAGGAGUAACAAGAAAGUUCACAUGGGUGAACCGUGAAGCAUUUUCUAAAACAAGGUGCAGCAAUCAGUUGAGUGAAUUUGUCACCAGAGCUUAUGUUUUCUGAAAGAACCCUAUCCUCAGGCAGUUGUUCCUAAGAGGACCCCACUGGAAAUCGGACUGUUCAACUCACCUGGCAGCCACUCACAGAGCCCGUGGAACUCUGGCCCAAGGCUCUCUGACUCCUUCUCGGCUUAGCGGCUAAAGACUGACACUGCCCGAUCGCCUCGGAAGCCCCGUAGACCAUCACGGACGCCGAGCUUUAGAUGAAGAAACUGAGGUCCAGAGAAGUUAAACGACCUUCCUAAGAUUACACAGCUUAGUAAGUGGCAGAACCACAGCUGGAAGCCAGGUCCUUCCUCACGCAAGUCCUGGCUCAUUCAUUCCUCUUCCAAAGACUUGCUGAGCACCUUCUAGGUGCCAGAUGCGGUGCUGGCUCCUGGGGACAUGGGAGUGAACAGGCCAGGCGUGGCCCUGAACCAUCAAAUAGACAACCACAGAAAUAACAACGAAUGAUGCUGGAGGCUGACGAAGAUAAGGGUGGAAAGUGGGCAAUAAAUCAGGAGCUGUUGCAACAUUCCCAGCAAAGGAUAAUGGUGAAUAACAAAGACAAAACCGGGCCCUUCCACACAGUAGCUGGAACACAAAGGAAGAUCAGCCAAGCCUCAACAUAAUCUCAUAAAAAUUCUUCAAAUAUCCCAUUGUUAUGGAUUCAUACAUCAGGAAAGCAGAUGCCAAGAACCUGAACACCUUCUACUGGUAACAUAUAUUUUGGCGAGCCAGCCUGGAGACAAGACCACUAUGGGCAACUUCCUGUCUAUUCUACCUGGUGUCACUGUGGACAACUUCCUAUCUAUUCCACCCGAUUCACCGCUUGGCUACAUCCUCCACCAUUGGGAUGAAUUUGACCCUAACAAUCUAAAGAAAAGGCAUAUGAUUUUUUACUGCAAUAUUGUUUGACACAAUUAUGAGCUGCCCAAUCCGGAACAAUGGGCAGUCAAUGGUAGCCUUAAUUAUGAUACCAUCCUGUAUCUAGACCUAUUUUACAAGAGGCAGGGCAAAUGGUCAGAAGUCCCACAUAUACAGGCCUACAUGACCCUAUACGAAGACCUAAGAAUCUAGGAAACUCCCAGAACCCAUCCCCCGAAGGAAAGUUCUGGGGCAGAACUAGAUAUUAUAGAUGAACCCCCUUUUACAAGGGAUACCUGUCUCUCAGAGUGAGCAGUGACUGUCCCCAUAUAACCCCUCACCAAGUGCUCCUGAGGCUGAAACCCAGGGGCAAACAUGGGGAACCCUACUAAGUCCCCCUCACACUUGGAGGGGAACACUGUAUUCAACUCUCUAUCCAGCCCUGCUACUCUCAGAGAAAUAGCAGGGGCUGAGGGGCCAAUCCUAGUGUGGGUCCCCUUCUCUAUGAUUGAUAUACAACAAUGUAAGGAAAAGCUAGGAAGCUAUUCUGAGGAUUCCGGGAAGUUUGCAGAUGGGUUCCAAACUUUGACCUUAGCCUUUGAUCUCUCAUGGAGAGACGUUCAAUUCACUCUAGCAACCUGUUGCACCUCCUCGGAAAAGGAACGAAUCUUUGAGGCUGCCCUCCGAGAAGUGGACGAAUUAUUCACCCAAAACCGUAAAGGCAGUCACCCAGGCCCAGCCACAGUUCCCACUACGCAUCCUAAUUGAGACCAAGACACCCCCGCAGGAAGGAACAACUGGGCUAAAUUUCUUGAGGCUCUUGGAGGAAUGAGAAAGGGAAUAACUAAGGCAGUAAAUUAUGAUAAAGUAAGGCAGAUUACACAAGGCAGGGAGGAAAACCCAGCUGUGUUUUACGGCAGGCUGCGGGAAGCCUUUAAAAAAUAUAUACUAAUUUGGUCCCUUCCUCUCCUGAAGGCAAGUUAUUAAUGGCACAACGUUUCAUUAGCCAAUCCACACCAGACAUUAGACGUAAGCUCCAAAAGCUACACAUGGGGCCACAAACUAACCAAAAUCAGCUUCUUGGUACUGCCUUCAUGGUGUAUAACAAUCGUGACCUGGAGGAAGGAGAAGGGAAACAGAGUAAAGAAAAACGGCAAGCCAAAAUUAUGUUAGCCAUCACUGGUGAUGCCCUAAAUGCACAAAGAUUGUCCAAGGGAAACUCAAAGGGCCAUAAGGAUAAUGCCAGCAAAGGCUCUUGCUUCAAAUGCAAUAAAAGUGCGAUUGGGCACAGGAAUCCACUAAGCCCCCGCCAGUCCCCUGCCGUCAAUGUAAAAGCACCAGUUGUGGCUCCUGGCCCUGGAGAAUUGACUGUCCCUGCUCCCACCAAGGGGCUCAGUCAGUCAAAACUCUGGCAGUGCACAAGGAGGAAUCAGAUGAAGACUGAAGGGGCCUGGGGCCUUCCUCACUGCCCCGUCUAGGAACAUUGUAAUUACUACUGAGGAACCCUGGGUAACUCUGGACAUCAUGGCCACCCAAAUUCAGUUUUUAUGUGAUACCAAGGUGAAUUAUUCUGUACAACUGCUUAUGCAGGAAAACUUUCCUCCCGGUCCAUGAGUGAUAUUGGAUGGAAGGGAAGCCACAAACAAGAUUCUUACUCCUCCUUUGGUUUGUCAAUUUGAGAAACAAAUCUUCCAACAGGAAUUUUUAGUAGUACCAAGCUGCCCAAUUCCCCUGUGGGAAAGAGAUAUUAUGGUGAAAAUAGUGACACUACUGCAAUUUAAGCAAUAUUAGCAGGUGAAACUGCUAAUAGUAAGAAAUAAGGCAAUGUCCCAGACCAUGUCAAUAAACAGGUUAACCCACUGGCAUGGUAUACUGGAAACCCAGGGAAGGCUAAAACAGCAGUGCCAGUCAAAAUACAGCUUAAAGACCCCAGCCAUUUUCCCAAUGGAAAACAAUACCCAGUUGAACAGGAAGCAAGCAAAGGUCUAGCUCCCAUAGUUGAGAUAUUACUUACCCAUGGACUCUUAAAACCCUGCAAUUCUCCCUGCAAUACCCCCAUCUUACCUGUUCUCAAGCCUGGGGGGAAUACCAGCUAGUACAGAACCUCAGAAUAAUGAAUGAGGCUGUUAUCCCCGUCCACCCAUUGGUGGCAGAUCCAUAUGCCCUCCUGGCUCAGGUGCCAGGGCAUGCAAAAUGGUUCUCAGUCCUAGACCUUUCUUCUCCAUUCCUCUGGCCCCGAGCCCCCCAGUACCUUUUUGCUUUCGAAUGGGAAAAUCCUAAUACCAGAUAAAAACAAUACACUUGGACAGUGCUUCCUCAGGGCUUUCGGGAUAGCCCCCACUUCUUUGCCUGAGCAUUAGAGCGGGAUCUGAGGGAUUUCAAGUUAGAAAAUGGAGGUAUUCUUCAGUAUGGGGAUGACCUUGUGUGUAGCCCAACCUAGGAGGUUUCUGACCAAAAUACUAUAAAAACUUUGAAUUUCCUGGCAGACAGAGGAUACAAAGUGUCCAAAAAGAAGGCUCAGAUUACCCUCCAAUGGGUCCACUAUUUAGGAUAUGUCUUAACACCCGGAACCCGGCAAAUAUCCCCAGAAGGAGUGCAAGCUAUAUGUGGUUUGGCCGCGUGCACCACCCCCAGCCCCCACCCUGACCCACCUCCAAGCAGCAGCUUUGUUCCUUUUUGGGGAUGGCCGGGCUUUGGAGAAUAUGAGUACCAAAUUUUGGGCUCAUAGCAAAGCCCCUAUAUGAAGCAACAAGGGGGCCUGAAAAUGAGCUAAUGGAAUGGACCCCGGAAAUGAGGAAAGCCUUUGCCAAGUUAAAACAGGUUCUCACCCAGGCUCCUGCUCUUGGUAUCCCAGACCUAAUUAAGGCCUUCUCCUUGUAUGUAGCAGAGAAGAGGGGCAUAGCUGUGGGAGUGCUAGCCCAGAAAUUAGGAUCAGAACCCAGACCAACCGCCUACUUCUCAAAAAAGUUGGACGGAGUGGCCUCAGGAUGGCCAAGUUGCCUGCGGGCAAUAGCAGCCACUGCUGUUAGUGGAGGAAGCCACUAAAAUCACCCUAGGGCAACCACUGGAAGUUCUAACGCUCCAUCAGGUAAAGUUAGUCUUAGAAAUAAAGGGACACAUCUGGAUGACAGGGGAAAUGUUAACUAAAUACCAGCCCAUGCUCCUAGACAAUCCAGAUAUAACUCUUAAAACCUGCAACACUUUAAAUCCAGCUUCAUUGCUGCCCACAGGCCCAAUAAUUGAUCAUUCCUGUGAGCAGGUCAUUGCACAUACAUAUGUUAGCCAGCCUGAUUUAAAAGAUGAGGCUCUCCCAGAUUCUGAAGCUGACCGGCUCACAGACGGCAGUAGUUCUUUGUCGAAUGGGGAGCACAGAGCUGGAUAUGCAGCAGUAAAUCAUGACACAAUUAUUGAAGCCCAGCCAGUGCCCCCUGGCACAUCAGCACAAAAGGCUAAAAUCAUUGAUCUUACUCAAGCAUUAAUGUUGGGACAAGGGAAAAAACUUAACAUCUAUACAGAUUCUAAAUAUGCAUUCCUUGUGGUUCAUGCUCAUACCGCCAUCAGGAAAGAAAGGGGAUUACUUACUAGCAAGCACUCCCCUAUAGAGCAUGGACCUGAAAUUCUGCAGCUAUUGAAGGCAAUACACCUGCCAAAGGCCAUAGCUAUCAUUCAUUGUAGGGGGCAUCAAAGGGACUUAACCCCUAUAGCACAAGGGAAUGGAAAGGCUGACGGAAGCCAAAGCAAAAGCCCUCAGCGUGCAAUCCCAACAGAUCCUAGCACUGCUUCCUUUCUACAAUUCCCCAGUAGAACCCAAAUACACACCACAGGAAGAACAGCUAAUAAAAAAAGCAAGGGAGACAAAAACAAGGAUCCUGGUGGCAUAUGGAGCCAAAAAUAUAUCUCCCUCAGGCAGCCCAGUGGAGAGUUAUAAAAGCCCUGCAUGACUCUUUCCAUGUGGGGAGGGAUGCGGCUCUGGCCAUGGUAAACAAGUUCUUUACUGGGUUUAACUCAGCUUCAAUGGCUAAGCAGGUCUGUCAAGCCUGCUCACUGUGUGCAUUUAACAAUCCAGGCAUCAAAAUGCCCCCUCUAAUAAAACCAGUCCAAAGGAGGGGAACUUAUCCAGGGGAAGACUGGCAGUUAGACGUCAUCCAUAUGCCAGCUUGCAGAGGAUACAAGCUUUUGUUAAUACUAAUAGAUACUUUUAGGUUGGGUCAAAGGUUACCCCAGAAAAGGCUAAUGAGGUUCUAAGGUCCUCUUAAAAGAAAUAAUUCCCCAGUUUGGGUUACCUCAGGGUCUCCAAAGUGAUAAUGGCUAAUCCUUUAUCUCCCAAAUAACUCAAGGGGUUGCUAAGGCUCUUGGAAUAAAAUACUAUUUACAUUCAGCCUGGAGGCCCCAAUCCUCUGGAAAAGUGGAAAGGGUUAACCAAACUCUAAAAUAAGCACUAGCUAAACUAUGUCAGGAAACAUCAGAAACUUGGGUUAGCUUAUUGCUCACAGCCCUUUUAAGAAUUUGUAAUACCCCUAGCUCAAAAAUUAACAGAAGCCCAUAUAAAAUGUUAUACAGAAGGCCAUUCUUAACUAAUGAUUUAAUUAUUGACCCAGAAAGAGUUGGUGUAAUUAAAUACCUAGUCAACCCAGAACAAUUCCAGCGGGUUUACAAGAGUUUGGAAUUCAAAGGCUCCUCACACUUGGAACUAACCAGCAACCCAAAAUCAGGCCAGGAGAUAGGGUACUUGUUAAAACAUGGAAUGAGGGAUCACCUGCCCAACAAUUACAACCCCAAUAGAAGGGACUUUUUUCAGUAAUACUGGCCACGUCUUCUGUGGUCAAAGUACUAGUAUUAGAUAGCUGGAUACAUCUUUCAAGGAUCAAACCAUCAAUACCAGAAGCUCCAGACCAGGAACCUGAAGUUCCCAUCAGCCAGUACACCUGUGAACCAGUGGAGGACCUGAAGUACCUGUUUAAAAGAUAGCCAAAAGAUAAGUAAAUGCCUACCAACUUUCUUUGGUGUCUUUGUUGCAUAGUUACUGUGGGCUGGAAAAUAGUAGCCAUUUUUAUCUUUGCAGUUUAAUUGCCUUCUUCCAAAUAGAUAAAAAUCACUUCCUUUGUAAUAAUUAAACAGAAUUUAAAAAAUACAUUUCUAUGACAAAUAUUCCUGAUGGCAUAAGUAUCCACCCCAAGGUUCCCAUUAAAUCUUUUAACCUAAAGUAUUUCCUCUCACCUAGAGAUCAUCGAGCUGUGUGACAAGGGUGCCAGCCACUCCAGGUGAAGACACCACCCCAGGCCAUCAAGGAUCUUCCCUACCUUCACUAAACAGAGCAGGGUGAAAGUUGUGUGAUCCCCAAUAGGUAGGGACUACACCCCAAGUCAGCAGGAAGCAGUUACAGAAGAAAGACCAUUGGUCCCUCUGCUUCCCAUAAAGAUUUAUGGGGAUCACAGCUUUCACGGGGGAGAUGAGGCAAGAGAAUAGGGCAUGCAGGCAGGGUACUUGAGGCCAAUCCACGCUGACUUCCUAGAACUGAAUUAAAUGAAAGCUCCUCAGCAAUGACAGGAAUGUGAAUGGCUUUGUAACUUCUUCCUCUCCAUUAAUGCUAUUUCCACUUUGUAACUUCACUUUCAUCCUCUCCAUUUACAUAGAUCACACACCAAGUAACAUCCUCUCCAUUUACAGUAGGGCGCAUUCCGAGUCAAUGACUCUGACUGCACUUCGUUCUCCUCAUUUACAUAGAACAUUCGCCAAGUAACCAAUGGGAAACCUCUAGAGUAUUGAAACUCCAGAAAAUUCCGUAAGUGGGGCUCUUGAGCGUCUACACUCGGGUCGCUCCCACACUGUGGCGUGUACUUUUAUUCUCAAUAAAUUCCCGCUUUUGCUUUCCUCGUUC
rnacentral:lncRNA from 1 species